UACGAGGGGGGUUAGCGUUGUUCGGAAUUACUGGGCGUAAAGCGCACGUAGGCGGAAUUGUAAAUCAGGGGUGAAAUCCGGGGGCCCAACCUCGGAACUGCCUUUGAUACUGCGAUUCUCUAGUCCGAUAGAGGUGGGUGGAAUUCCUAGGGUAGAGGGGAAAUUCGUAGAUAUUAGGACAAACACCGGUGGCGAAGGCGGCCCACUGGAUCGGUACUGACGCUGAGGUGCGAAAGCGUGGGGAGCAAACAGG
rnacentral:rRNA from 1 species